rnacentral:lncRNA from 1 species
GACUACAAGCCCAUGGUAUCUCUUCACGACUUCUGCUUAGGUUUUCAAUCUCCUUUAAUGUUUUAACUGUGGCUCUGAAACUACAGUAGCCAUCUUGAAAGAACAGUUCCAGACUUCAUCUGCUUCUGAAACCAAGAAUUCUAUGGACAGUAUAAGGGAUCAGUGCCAGCAACUCAGGAUCAGACACUGGGAGAGAAACUACACUGUACUUGCAUACAUACAGGGGAUCUCACCAGGUGAGCUAUUGAGCCUCACAAUACAAUAAACUCCUUUACUUCAAUAUUCAAACAAGAUUUGGGGUCACUUACGUAGAAACACAUACCCUGCAAAAACUGAAAAACAAACAAACAAACAAACAAACAAACCUAAACAGAAAAUGGCAAACGCAAGUAACAAGUAAAAUACGGAUGCAGGAGUUAGGGUGUGAAAUGCAAAUGAAAAAUGGAGUUGGUAGGAAAGUGAACAGUCAGUCUGACUGAACUGCACAACAGUGCCUUCCUCACACGAGAGGUUUCCUGGGCAGAGCUAAAGCAUAG